rnacentral:rRNA from 1 species
GGGGAUUGCUUGCAAUCCGCUGACGAGUGGCGCACGGGUGCGUAACGCGUAUACAAUCUGCCUUACACUGGGGGAUAGCCUUUAGAAAUGAAGAUUAAUACCCCAUGGUCUAUAGAAGUGGCAUCGCUUUUAUAGUAAAGGUUACGGUGUAAGAUGAGUAUGCGUCCUAUUAGUUUGUUGGUGUGGUAACGGCACACCAAGACUACGAUAGGUAGGGGCCCUGAGAGGGGGAUCCCCCACACUGGUACUGAGACACGGACCAGACUCCUACGGGAGGCAGCAGUGAGGAAUAUUGGACAAUGGGCGAGAGCCUGAUCCAGCCAUGCCGCGUGCAGGAAGACUGCCCUAUGGGUUGUAAACUGCUUUUAUACGGGAAGAAACACUCCUACGUGUAGGAAUUUGACGGUACCGUAAGAAUAAGCAUCGGCUAACUCCGUGCCAGCAGCCGCGGUAAUACGGAGGAUGCAAGCGUUAUCCGGAAUCAUUGGGUUUAAAGGGUCCGUAGGCGGGCAGUUAAGUCAGGGGUGAAAGUUUGCGGCUCAACCGUAAAAUUGUCUCUGAUACUGAUUGUCUUGAAUUAGUGUGAAGUGGUUAGAAUGAGUAGUGUAGCGGUGAAAUGCAUAGAUAUUACUCAGAAUACCGAUUGCGAAGGCAGAUCACUAACACUAUAUUGACGCUGAUGGACGAAAGCGUGGGGAGCGAACAGGAUUAGAUACCCUGGUAGUCCACGCCGUAAACGAUGGAUACUAGCUGUUCGGACUUCGGUCUGAGUGGCCAAGCGAAAGUGAUAAGUAUCCCACCUGGGGAGUACGUUCGCAAGAAUGAAACUCAAA